AAGAAGUUAAUCUAAAAUAAGACUAUUGAUUUCGACUCAAUAAAUUGUGAAUAAUACCACAACUUCUUU
rnacentral:tRNA from 1 species